rnacentral:lncRNA from 1 species
GCGGAGCUAGACGCGUCGACUCUGGGGUGCCAGCCCGGAGAAGCCCUGGCAGUGAACCUGGCCUUCGCGCUCUCUCGUGUCCCGGACGAGAGCGUCUCUCCCGCGAACCCCCGCGACGAGCUCCUCCGUCGCGUGCGCGCCCUCCGGCCGCGCGUGGUGGCGCUGGUGGAGCAGGAUAUCAACACCAGCACCGCCGCCUUCGCCGGCCGCUUCGCGGAGGCGUGCGCGCACUACGGCGCCCUGCUGGAGUCGCUCGACGCGACGGUGAACCGGGACAGCGCCGAGAGGGCCCGAGUCGAGGCCGGUUU